UACGUAGGGGGCAAGCGUUGUCCGGAUUUAUUGGGCGUAAAGAGCGUGUAGGCGGCCAGGUAGGUCUGCUGUGAAAACUCGAGGCUUAACCUCGAGAUGUCGGCGGAAACCAUCUGGCUAGAGUCCGGAAGAGGAGAAUGGAAUUCCCGGUGUAGCGGUGAAAUGCGCAGAUAUCAGGAAGAACACCUAUGGCGAAGGCAGCUCUCUGGGACGGUACUGACGCUGAGACGCGAAAGCGUGGGGAGCGAACAGG
rnacentral:rRNA from 1 species